CCUCCCUUCUAGAUCCACAUUAGUCCAACUCCCCAGAUUCCCCUGUCUGCUAUCCCUAAGCCAGCCCACAGGCCCGCCCCAGAGGAGCACCCCGUUGGCCCUGUUUGCCGGGUGAGCUCAAAGCUUGCACAGCAGCCCACCUCACUUUGGCCUUGACCUCUGUGGGGCUCUCCAUCAGUGACAGGCAACGACAGAUGAAUGGCUCGGCUGUGAAAUGAAACCAGGGGAGAGAAGGAAGCUGCACCACAGGAGGGCUUCUCAGUGCCUCUGCCACCGCACAAGUGCCCAGGGAGAAGCGGGAGGGGAUCCCAGGAAAAGCAGACCCGAAGGGCGGGCCAGGGCACAGCAGUUACAGGAAGACCCAUAGAGACAGAAUGUGGGACCCUUGGAGAGCUGGGCCCAAGCUGGCAACCAAAAGACUGUUGUUUUCCAAACUCCAUCGGAAAGUUUGAAAAAUAUGCGUGGAAAAGUGA